UCCCUGGUGGCUCAGAUGGUAAAGCGUCUGCCUGCAAUGCGGAAGACCCGGGUUCGAUCCCUGGGUUGGGAA
rnacentral:tRNA from 1 species